UACAGAGGGUGCGAGCGUUAAUCGGAAUUACUGGGCGUAAAGCGCGCGUAGGCGGCUUUUCAAGUCGGAUGUGAAAUCCCUCGGCUUAACCGGGGAACUGCGUCUGAUACUGGAUGGCUUGAGUUCGGGAGAGGGAUGCGGAAUUCCAGGUGUAGCGGUGAAAUGCGUAGAUAUCUGGAGGAACACCGGUGGCGAAGGCGGCAUCCUGGACCGACACUGACGCUGAGGUGCGAAAGCGUGGGGAGCAAACAGG
rnacentral:rRNA from 1 species